rnacentral:rRNA from 1 species
CCUACGGGUGGCAGCAGUGCGGAAUAUUGGUCAAUGGACGAGAGUCUGAACCAGCCAAGUAGCGUGAAGGAUGACUGCCCUAUGGGUUGUAAACUUCUUUUAUAUGGGAAUAAAACAGGGUAUGCAUACCCUCUUGUAUGCACCAUAUGAAUAAUGAUCGGCUAACUCCGUGCCAGCAGCCGCGUUAAUACGGCGGAUCCGAGCGUUAUCCGGAGUUAUUGGGUUUAAAGGGAGCGUAGGUGGACUGUUAAGUCAGUUGUGAAAGUUUGCGGAUCAACCGUAAAAUUGCAGUUGAUACUGGCAGUCUUGAGUACAGGAGAGGUGGGCGGAAUUAGUGGUGUAGCGGUGAAAUGCUUAGAUAUCACGAAGAACUCCGAUUGCGAAGGCAGCUCACUGGACUGCAACUGACACUGAUGCUCGAAAGUGUGGGUAUCAAACAGGAUGAGAUACCCGAGUAGUC